rnacentral:rRNA from 1 species
AACUCCGUGCCAGCAGCCGCGGUAAUACGGAGGAUGCGAGCGUUAUCCGGAUUUAUUGGGUUUAAAGGGAGCGCAGGCUGCGAGGCAAGUCAGCGGUCAAAUGUCGGGGCUCAACCCCGGCCUGCCGUUGAAACUGUCUUGCUAGAGUUCGAGUGAGGUAUGCGGAAUGCGUUGUGUAGCGGUGAAAUGCAUAGAUAUGACGCAGAACUCCGAUUGCGAAGGCAGCAUACCAACUCGCGACUGACGCUGAGGCUCGAAAGCGUGGGUAUCGAACAGGAUUAGAUACCCUGGUAGUCCACGCAGUAAACGAUGAAUACUAACUGUUCGGAGGGCGACCUCUGAGUGGUAAAGCGAAAGCGUUAAGUAUUCCACCUGGGGAGUACGCCGGCAACGGUGAAACUCAAAGGAAUUGACGGGGGCCCGCACAAGCGGAGGAACAUGUGGUUUAAUUCGAUGAUACGCGAGGAACCUUACCCGGGCUCAAACGUCGGGCGAACCAUCCUGAAAGGGAUGGGCCAGCAAUGGCGGCCGACGAGGUGCUGCAUGGUUGUCGUCAGCUCGUGCCGUGAGGUGUCGGCUUAAGUGCCAUAACGAGCGCAACCCCCGCGUCCAGUUGCCAGCGAGUAGAGUCGGGCACUCUGGACGGACUGCCGGCGCAAGCCGCGAGGAAGGCGGGGAUGACGUCAAAUCAGCACGGCCCUUACGUCCGGGGCGACACACGUGUUACAAUGGCGUGGAACAGAGGGAAGCCACCUGGCGACAGGGAGCGGAACCCGAAAACACGUCUCAGUUCGGAUUGGAGUCUGCAACUCGACUCCAUGAAGCUGGAUUCGCUAGUAAUCGCGCAUCAGCCAUGGCGCGGUGAAUACGUUCCCGGGCCUUGUACACACCGCCCGUCAAGCCAUGGGAGCCGGGAGUGCCUGAAGGCCGUAACCGCAAGGAGCGGUCAAGGGUAAGACUGGUGACUGGGGCUAAGUCGUAACAAGGUAGCCGUACCGGAAGGUGCGGCUG